rnacentral:tRNA from 1 species
GAAAUAAGAUAUUCAAGGGUAAGCUUCUAACUUAACUCUUUAGCAGUGAAAGUCUGUUAAUAUUUCU